rnacentral:rRNA from 1 species
AUUGAACGCUGGCGGCAUGCCUUACACAUGCAAGUCGAACGGCAGCACGGGGGCAACCCUGGUGGCGAGUGGCGAACGGGUGAGUAACAUAUCGGAACAUACCCUAGAGUGGGGAUAACGUAGCGAAAGUUACGCUAAUACCGCAUACGAUCUAAGGAUGAAAGUGGGGGAUCUUCGGACCUCAUGCUCAUGGAGUGGCCGAUAUCUGAUUAGCUAGUUGGUGAGGUAAAGGCUCACCAAGGCGACGAUCAGUAGCUGGUUUGAGAGAACGACCAGCCACACUGGAACUGAGACACGGUCCAGACUCCUACGGAGGCAGCAGUGGGGAAUUUUGGACAAUGGGGGCAACCCUGAUCCAGCAAUGCCGCGUGAGUGAAGAAGGCC